rnacentral:rRNA from 1 species
UGGGGAAUUUUGGACAAUGGGCGAAAGCCUGAUCCAGCAAUGCCGCGUGUGUGAAGAAGGCCUUCGGGUUGUAAAGCACUUUUGUCCGGAAAGAAAUCCUUGGCUCUAAUACAGUCGGGGGAUGACGGUACCGGAAGAAUAAGCACCGGCUAACUACGUGCCAGCAGCCGCGGUAAUACGUAGGGUGCAAGCGUUAAUCGGAAUUACUGGGCGUAAAGCGUGCGCAGGCGGUUUGCUAAGACCGAUGUGAAAUCCCCGGGCUCAACCUGGGAACUGCAUUGGUGACUGGCAGGCUAGAGUAUGGCAGAGGGGGGUAGAAUUCCACGUGUAGCAGUGAAAUGCGUAGAGAUGUGGAGGAAUACCGAUGGCGAAGGCGAGCCCCCUGGGCCAAUACUGACGCUCAUGCACGAAAGCGUGGGGGAGCAAAACAGGAUUAGAUACCCCUGGUAGUCCACGCCCUAAACGAUGUCAACUAGUUGUUGGGGAUUCAUUUCCUUAGUAACGUAGCUAACGCGUGAAGUUGACCGCCUGGGGAGUACGGUCGCAAGAUUAAAACUCAAAGGAAUUGACGGGGUCAUAGCUGUUUCCU